UACGGAGGGUGCAAGCGUUGUUCGGAAUUACUGGGCGUAAAGCGUGCGUAGGUGGUGCAUUAAGUCAGACGUGAAAGCCCCGAGCUUAACUUGGGAACUGCGUUUGAUACUGGUGCGCUAGAGGACUGGAGAGGAGAGUAGAAUUCCUAGUGUAGAGGUGAAAUUCGUAGAUAUUAGGAAGAAUACCAGAGGCGAAGGCGGCUCUCUGGCCAGACCCUGACACUGAGGCACGAAAGCGUGGGGAGCAAACAGGAUUAGAUACCCUGGUAGU
rnacentral:rRNA from 1 species